CUAAAAAAUCACCCCACCUAACAUAACAGUGCAGCCAAAAGCCACAAGAUGGAUACUUUUUUAGCAUCCCAUGAACGCAGCUGUUACAGCCCUCUUCUUUCAGACUAUUUUUGCUGUCCACAAGGAAGGAGCCGAAGCUAAAAAUGAUCUAGGUAGACCUGCACACAAGCCACCAACCAACUUCCCUCCUGUACUAUUUCCAUUCAUAACGGGGAAGAAAAGA